UGUGUAGGCGGUUCUUUAAGUUUGGUGUGAAAUCUCCCGGCUCAACUGGGAGGGUGCGCCGAAUACUGAGGGACUAGAGUACGGGAGAGGAAAGUGGAAUUCCUGGUGUAGCGGUGAAAUGCGUAGAUAUCAGGAGGAACACCGGUGGUGUAGACGGCUUCUGGACCGUAACUGACGCUGAGACACGAAAGCGUGGGUAGCAAAACA
rnacentral:rRNA from 1 species